GAUGAACGCUCGCUACAGGCUUAACACAUGCAAGUCGCAGGGUAACAUGAGGAAAGCUUGCUUUCCUUGAUGACGACUGGCGCACGGGUGAGUAACGCGUAUCCAACCUUCCCAUAACUACGGGAUAACCCGUUGAACGACGGCCUAAUACCGUAUGAUAUCGUUUGCUGACAUCAAAUAACGAUUAAAGUUUUAGCGGUUAUGGAUGGGGAUGCGUCUGAUUAGCUUGUUGGCGGGGUAACGGCCCACCAAGGCGACGAUCAGUAGGGGUUCUGAGAGGAAGGUCCCCCACAUUGGAACUGAGACACGGUCCAAACUCCUACGGGAGGCAGCAGUGAGGAAUAUUGGUCAAUGGGCGAGAGCCUGAACCAGCCAAGUAGCGUGCAGGACGACGGCCCUAUGGGUUGUAAACUGCUUUUAUGUGGGGAUAAAGUGCGUGACGUGUCAUGCAUUGCAGGUACCACAUGAAUAAGGACCGGCUAAUUCCGUG
rnacentral:rRNA from 1 species